rnacentral:rRNA from 1 species
GAUCCUGGCUCAGGAUGAACGCUGGCGGCGUGCUUAACACAUGCAAGUCGAACGAAGCACUUAAGACAGAUUCUUCGGAUGAAGUUUUUUGUGACUGAGUGGCGGACGGGUGAGUAACGCGUGGGUAACCUGCCUCAUACAGGGGGGAUAACAGUUAGAAAUGACUGCUAAUACCGCAUAAGCGCACAGGGUCGCAUGACCUGGUGUGAAAAACUCCGGUGGUAUGAGAUGGACCCGCGU